UACGUAGGGGGCAAGCGUUGUCCGGAAUUAUUGGGCGGAAAGCGCGUGUAGGCGGUCCGGUAAGUCGGCUGUGAAAGUCCAGGGCUCAACCCUGGGAUGCCGGUCGAUACUGCCGGACUAGAGUUCGGAAGAGGCGAGUGGAAUUCCCGGUGUAGUGGUGAAAUGCGUAGAUAUCGGGAGGAACACCAGUGGCGAAGGCGGCUUUCUGGUCUGCUCUUGACGCUGAGGCGCGAAAGCUAGGGUAGCAAACGGG
rnacentral:rRNA from 1 species